GACGGAAGGUGCAAGCGUUGCUCGGAAUCACUGGGCGUAAAGGGUGCGUAGGCGGCCGUGCAAGUCAGUGCUGAAAUAUCCCGGCUUAACCGGGAGGGUGGCAUUGAUACUGCGGGGCUAGAGUACAGAUGAGGUAGGCGGAAUUGACGGUGUAGCGGUGAAAUGCUUAGAUAUCGUCAAGAACACCUAUAGCGAAGGCAGCUUACUAGGCUGUAACUGACGCUGAGGCACGAAAGUGUGGGGAUCAAACGGG
rnacentral:rRNA from 1 species